rnacentral:piRNA from 1 species
UGGAAUCUGUUAUUUAGGUCUUUCUAAA